GAUGAACGCUGGCGGCGUGCCUAAUACAUGCAAGUCGAGCGAACGGACGAGAAGCUUGCUUCUCUGAUGUUAGCGGCGGACGGGUGAGUAACACGUGGAUAACCUACCUAUAAGACUGGGAUAACUUCGGGAAACCGGAGCUAAUACCGGAUAAUAUUUUGAACCGCAUGGUUCAAAAGUGAAAGACGGUCUUGCUGUCACUUAUAGAUGGAUCCGCGCUGCAUUAGCUAGUUGGUAAGGUAACGGCUUACCAAGGCAACGAUGCAUAGCCGACCUGAGAGGGUGAUCGGCCACACUGGAACUGAGACACGGUCCAGACUCCUACGGGAGGCAGCAGUAGGGAAUCUUCCGCAAUGGGCGAAAGCCAGACGGAGCAACGCCGCGUGAGUGAUGAAGGUCUUCGGAUCGUAAAACUCUGUUAUUAGGGAAGAACAUAUGUGUAAGUAACUGUGCACAUCUUGACGGUACCUAAUCAGAAAGCCACGGCUAACUACGUG
rnacentral:rRNA from 1 species